UGGGGAAUUUUGGACAAUGGGCGAAAGCCUGAUCCAGCAAUGCCGCGUGUGUGAAGAAGGCCUUCGGGUUGUAAAGCACUUUUGUCCGGAAAGAAAUCCUUGGCUCUAAUACAGUCGGGGGAUGACGGUACCGGAAGAAUAAGCACCGGCUAACUACGUGCCAGCAGCCGCGGUAAUACGUAGGGUGCAAGCGUUAAUCGGAAUUACUGGGCGUAAAGCGUGCGCAGGCGGUUUGCUAAGACCGAUGUGAAAUCCCCGGGCUCAACCUGGGAACUGCAUUGGUGACUGGCAGGCUAGAGUAUGGCAGAGGGGGUAGAAUUCCACGUGUAGCAGUGAAAUGCGUAGAGAUGUGGAGGAAUACCGAUGGCGAAGGCAGCCCCCAUGGGCCAAUACU
rnacentral:rRNA from 1 species